UACGUAGGGCGCAAGCGUUGUCCGGAAUUAUUGGGCGUAAAGAGCUCGUAGGCGGCCAGUUGCGUCCGCUGUGAAAUCCCGGGGCUUAACCCCGGGCGUGCAGUGGAUACGGGCUGGCUAGAGGCAGGCAGGGGAGAACGGAAUUCCCGGUGUAGGCGGUGAAAUGACGCAGAUAUCGGGAGGAACACCGGUGGCGAAGGCGGUUCUCUGGGCCUGUACUGACGCUGAGGAGCGAAAGCGUGGGGAGCAAACAGG
rnacentral:rRNA from 1 species